UCCCCCUAGCAGUUUACCCCCACAAUCUGCUCCUCCAAUAAAUGCAACAUCUCCACCUAUAGCACCAGCACCACUGCCUCAAUCACCUCCUCCAACAAAUAUAACAUUGCCUCCUCCUGCCUCAUCUCCACCUCCACUCACUUCACCAACACCUCCUGUAGAAUCUGCUCCUCCAAUUAGUCCUCCACCUCUUCCUUCGUCGCCUCCAUCUACACCUUCCGGUCCACCUCCAACUUCUAGUCCGCCGCCUAGUUCAUCUCCACCUCCAUCAUCCAGCAAACCAAGUAGUCCACCACUACCUCAACCCGAACCAACUAGUCCUGCAAGUUCACCUCCAUCAUCAUCGGCGCGUCCCCCUGCAUUGUCACCUCCUCAUUCAUCAAGACUUCCCCCUGCAUUGUCACCUCCAGCACCUGUGCAAAAUCCAA
rnacentral:lncRNA from 1 species